rnacentral:tRNA from 1 species
AAAACUUAAGAAAGAAUCAUUAUUCUAUUAAUUU